rnacentral:rRNA from 1 species
GAACGCUGGCGGCGUGCCUAAUACAUGCAAGUCGAACGGUCUUUCUAUGGAAGCUUGCUUCCACUGAGAAGAUAGUGGCGAACGGGUGAGUAACACGUGGGUAACCUGCCCAUAAGAGGGGGAGUAACAUCCGGAAACGGGUGCUAAUACCGCAUAGUUUUCUUGAUCGCAUGAUCGGGAAAGGAAAGACGGCCUUUGUGCUGUCGCUUAUGGAUGGACCCGCGGCGUAUUAGUUAGUUGGUGAGGUAACGGCUCACCAAGACGAUGAUACGUAGCCGACCUGAGAGGGUGAUCGGCCACAUUGGGACUGAGACACGGCCCAAACUCCUACGGGAGGCAGCAGUAGGGAAUCUUCCGCAAUGGACGAAAGUCUGACGGAGCAACGCCGCGUGAGUGAAGAAAGGUUUUCGGAUCGUAAAACUCUGUUGUCAGAGAAGAACAAGUUGGAGAGUAACUGCUCCAGCCUUGACGGUAUCUGACCAGAAAGCCACGGCUAACUACGUGCCAGCAGCGGC